CCUCAGGAGACUAACCUGUGAUGUGCCACAGGAAGAGACUAGGAGGAAGGAGUGAGGUGUCCCAGUGCCUAAGGCCCUUGCUGUGGUAGGAAACUGAUUGAGAUAUACCCAGAUGAUCCUGGCAAGCAGUCCACACCCCAAGCCACGGAGGACUGCAAAAAACCCCAAAGGUCACUGCCAAUCUGACCUGGGGGAAAAUUCUUCUGAAAUCUGCAUAUAGCACUCAGUCAGACUCUGAGCAUGAUGUGAACAAGAACCAGCCAACUGAAGCCAUCACUGAUGUUUCUGAGGAGGGAAACAAACAAAAUACAAAUACAGAAUAGAUGGGGGUGUUGGGGAAUCUCUUCCUGACCCCUGCAGGUGACUGCCUGAAGCAUGAGCUGUGAGCAGAAAGGAUUGUGGGGAGCCUUGCAGCAGUUGUCCAUCCUGUCAUGAAAGGAGCAUGGGAAGAAUCACUGGGUGGCUGCUCACCUCACACCUUUUAUGAGUCAACAAAACAGGAUCCUGCUAUCUACUGUUGCUGAGAACUCUUCCGUGUAAAGAAGAGGCAGAAAAUGUUUGAUUUUGGAUGGAUGGGUGAACCACUGAACAGCCUUUGUUUGGGGAACACAAUUGAGAAGAGAUCUGAGGUUUUACCAGAGUAGCGCAUAUGGAGAAGAAGGUAGAUGAUUUUUGAUAAGCAGCUGAGUGACCCAAGUUCCUGGGGAUGAGUGCUAAUGUCUCCUUAAAAUGUCAAGAAACAACAGCCAAUGAUGGCCAUUAGCAACCUUGGAGUCCCAGUCUUUGAUCCAGAUUCAGGGUGACCAUCCAUCCUGUGCUUUUGAACAGCCAGUAUCUGGUGCUUACUGUCCCACAGCCCAUCUCCGGU